rnacentral:rRNA from 1 species
AUUGAACGCUGGCGGCAGGCCUAACACAUGCAAGUCGAACGAGUGGCGGACGGGUGAGUAAUGUCUGGGAAACUGCCUGCUGGAGGGGGAUAACUACUGGAAACGGUAGCUAAUACCGCAUACCAUCGGAUGUGCCCAGAUGGGAUUAGCUAGUAGGUGGGGGAAAGGCUCACCUAGGCGGCGAUCCCUAGCUGGUCUGAGAGGAUGACCGGCCACACUGGGACUGAGACACGGUCCAGACUCCUACGGGAGGCAGCAGUGGGGAAUAUUGGACAAUGGGCGCAAGCCUGAUGGAGCCAUGCCGCGUGUAUGAAGAAGGCCUUCGGGUUGUAAAGUACUUUUGGCGGAGAAGCGGUACCCGAAGAGGAAGCACCGGCUAACUACGUGCCAGCAGCCGCGGUAAUUC